ACGAUUGAGGAACAACACGUUUGCAGCCAGACAGAGUUCCUGUUCUCUCUUCAGCUGAAGACUGUGGUCACUCAGUCCAUUCAGUCUGUGUGAUGAGGAAUAUGAACAUCUGUAGCUGCAUGUUUGCUUUACUGCUGGGCUGUAAUGCCACUGCAGCAAUAAUCCAUAAAAUUGUGGAUGAAAAGACAUCACCCUCUCUGCGCUGUGCUCACUCUGUGGAGGGUAAAGUGACGUGGAGCAGAGAGCGUAAUGGAAACAAACAUGACAUAUUUACAAUUGAUGGUGAAAAGGAAAUAAGACACGAUGACCCGGGCAGACGAUACAGUUCAUUGGCAGAUAAGUCACUGUACAUUCACAGUGUUACCUUCUCCGACUCUGGAAGAUACUUGUGUAAUAGUGAAGCAGCUAUGGAGCUGACGGUGAUCCCAUCAGGAACAAUCAGACUUGAUGCUACUGAGGGGACCAGCGUCACUCUGAAAUGCCCUCAUGAUGGAGGAACAAAGGUUUCAAAAUGGAGAAGAGACUCUGAUGAAAUACAUAAACAAAAAGGGUUUUAUGUUUCACCUCUUGACUAUGCAUUGACUAUAACUGACGUGGAGCUUAGUAACUCGGGAGUUUACUACUGUGAUGGAAAACCAGCUGUUUUUCUGAAUGUGACCAAAGGAAAGAAGGCACCGCACACAACAACAUCGACAGCAACCGCACUUCCUCCAGCAGCAACACCUGUAUCCUUAACAUCACCUCUAACUAAUAUAGCUACGACUUCAACACAGAAAGAAAGUCAUAGCAAGAAACAUGGAACUAAAAGCAAGAAGAAAGGUAAGAAGGUGGCACCACCACCACCACCACCACAAACAACAACAACACCAACAACAACACCAACAACAACACCAACAGCAACAACGGUGGUAAACACAGUGGCUUCUGAAGAACAACAACAAACUCUUGGUUUGAUGUUUGGAAUAGUUGUCUCCUUCCUCCUCCUCCUCGUCAUCAUCAUCAUCAUCAUCGUCUACUUUAAAGGACGAGGAAGUGAUGAAACAUAUGCUGUCUACGCUGAGAUACAGGAUGGAUUCAUGCUUCAGGCUACAAAUGGUGAGAAAUAAGAAGUGAAAAACAAUGUGCUUUUUCUAUUAUGAUCGAGACCGAUGUAAUAUUUUGUUAUUCACUGUUAUUUAUGGUUGCAUUCAUGUGC
rnacentral:lncRNA from 1 species